UAGCUACAGGCUUAACACAUGCAAGUCGAGGGGCAUCAGGAAGAAAGCUUGCUUUCUUUGCUGGCGACCGGCGCACGGGUGAGUAACACGUAUCCAACCUGCCCUUUACUCGGGGAUAGCCUUUCGAAAGAAAGAUUAAUACCCGAUAGCAUAAUGAUUCCGCAUGGUUUCAUUAUUAAAGGAUUCCGGUAAAGGAUGGGGAUGCGUUCCAUUAGGUUGUUGGUGAGGUAACGGCCCACCAAGCCUUCGAUGGAUAGGGGUUCUGAGAGGAAGGUCCCCCACAUUGGAACUGAGACACGGUCCAAACUCCUACGGGAGGCAGCAGUGAGGAAUAUUGGUCAAUGGGCGCUAGCCUGAACCAGCCAAGUAGCGUGAAGGAUGAAGGCUCUAUGGGUCGUAAACUUCUUUUAUAUAAGAAUAAAGUGCAGUAUGUAUACUGUUUUGUAUGUAUUAUAUGAAUAAGGAUCGGCUAACUCCGUGCCAGCAGCCGCGGUAAUACGGAGGAUCCGAGCGUUAUCCGGAUUUAUUGGGUUUAAAGGGAGCGUAGGUGGACUGGUAAGUCAGUUGUGAAAGUUUGCGGCUCAACCGUAAAAUUGCAGUUGAUACUGUCAGUCUUGAGUACAGUAGAGGUGGGCGGAAUUCGUGGUGUAGCGGUGAAAUGCUUAGAUAUCACGAAGAACUCCGAUUGCGAAGGCAGCUCACUGGACUGCAACUGACACUGAUGCUCGAAAGUGUGGGUAUCAAACAGGAUUAGAUACCCUGGUAGUCCACACAGUAAACGAUGAAUACUCGCUGUUUGCGAUAUACAGUAAGCGGCCAAGCGAAAGCAUUAAGUAUUCCACCUGGGGAGUACGCCGGCAACGGUGAAACUCAAAGGAAUUGACGGGGGCCCGCACAAGCGGAGGAACAUGUGGUUUAAUUCGAUGAUACGCGAGGAACCUUACCCGGGCUUAAAUUGCAGUGGAAUGAUGUGGAAACAUGUCAGUGAGCAAUCACCGCUGUGAAGGUGCUGCAUGGUUGUCGUCAGCUCGUGCCGUGAGGUGUCGGCUUAAGUGCCAUAACGAGCGCAACCCUUAUCUUUAGUUACUAACAGGUUAUGCUGAGGACUCUAGAGAGACUGCCGUCGUAAGAUGUGAGGAAGGUGGGGAUGACGUCAAAUCAGCACGGCCCUUACGUCCGGGGCUACACACGUGUUACAAUGGGGGGUACAGAAGGCAGCUAGCGGGUGACCGUAUGCUAAUCCCAAAAUCCUCUCUCAGUUCGGAUCGAAGUCUGCAACCCGACUUCGUGAAGCUGGAUUCGCUAGUAAUCGCGCAUCAGCCACGGCGCGGUGAAUACGUUCCCGGGCCUUGUACACACCGCCCGUCAAGCCAUGGGAGCCGGGGGUACCUGAAGUACGUAACCGCAAGGAUCGUCCUAGGGUAAAACUGGUGACUGGGG
rnacentral:rRNA from 1 species